GACGUAGGGGGCGAGCGUUGUCCGGAUUUAUUGGGCGUAAAGGGCGCGUAGGCGGCUUGGAAAGUCGGAUGUGAAAACUCGGGGCUCAACCCCGAGCGUGCACUCGAUACUGCCGGGCUUGAGGCAGGUAGGGGAGAUCGGAAUUCCUGGUGUAGCGGUGAAAUGCGCAGAUAUCAGGAGGAACACCGGUGGCGAAGGCGGAUCUCUGGGCCUGUCCUGACGCUGAGGCGCGAAAGCUAGGGGAGCGAACAGG
rnacentral:rRNA from 1 species